rnacentral:rRNA from 1 species
CGAACGCUGGCGGCAUGCCUAACACAUGCAAGUCGAACGAGACCUUCGGGUCUAGUGGCGCACGGGUGCGUAACGCGUGGGAACCUGCCUUUAGGUUCGGAAUACCUCAGAGAAAUUUGAGCUAAUACCGGAUGAUGUCUUCGGACCAAAGAUUUAUCGCCUUUAGAUGGGCCCGCGUUGGAUUAGCUAGUUGGUGGGGUACAGGCCUACUAAGGCGACGAUCCAUAGCUGGUCUGAGAGGAUGAUCAGCCACACUGGGACUGAGACACGGCCCAGACUCCUACGGGAGGCAGCAGUGGGGAAUAUUGGACAAUGGGCGAAAGCCUGAUCCAGCAAUGCCGCGUGAGUGAUGAAGGCCUUAGGGUUGUAAAGCUCUUUUACCCGAGAUGAUAAUGACAGUAUCGGGAGAAUAAGCUCCGGCUAACUCCGUG